GCUUCUGCUACCGUGCAACAUCACUGCAGGAUUCCCGACCAUGAAACGCCGGGGCCGACUCAAGCUACAACCACGCCGUGCUAGCCCUCCACUCCGCACCCAGCACUCACUUUUCCUGUGAACCUAACGUCAACACGCCACCCACAGGCCGUGCAGUCAACUUACCUGUGUCACGGGGACACACUCUCAUUCUGGCAUUUGCCGCUUGCUGUCGGUCCCGUUUCUGACAGACCUUCGCAGAACUGCUUCCUGGCAGACAGAGGAACCAGGCAUCGGCCUCUAGCAAGAGAGCAGAGCUGGCUGGCGGCUGUGGUCAAGGAUUUUGAGGAAAGGAGACAUUUUCACUGGGAUGCGCAUGCUUCACAGGAUCUGUUCAGGAAAUUUCAUGCAAUCUGACAUUUCCCUUAGAGUUGCUUAGGAACCCCAGGAAAUCGUGGCUCCGAAUGACAGGAUGGUAAUAAAUUAGUCUGUCCUGGGCCAGCCAUCUGCUUUCAGUAAAUUAAGAGACGAACCCAUAUGGGAUUCAUCUAAAAUAGAAAUUCUCAUUUUCUCUGCAAUUUUCAUUUCUCUUUAUCUGGCUCACUGAAUUGGUUUUACACAGAAUAAUCCAACUGAGUUUUAUCCUAUGCUUUCUAUGUCUCCACUUCUGUCUCUACACAGGCAGCCAAGCCUUAGGGUGUCCUUCACUUACACCCCAGAGGUCCUUUUCAGUGGUUGAUGGUCUUACUUGCUUUAAUUUGAGAGCUGGAGUUGGGGGCUAAUGCCUUUUAUUGUAUUUUGUGCUUAUUUUUUGAAACAGGGUCUUGCUGUGUAGCCCAGGUUAGCCCCUUACUCACAUUCCUGCUUCAGCCUCCCGAGUGCUAGGUUACAGGCAUGUGCUACCAACCCUGGCUUCUUGGAAAAUGCCUUUGAGUCACUGUUCUGCCAGGUCUGCCCGGCACGGCCACCUUCAAUGCUCCCCAUUUAUCGUCUCCCUUGGUCCCUCCCAUCUCCACCCGCUGACCUCUCAGAGCAGAGUUUUGUCUCUCCCAUUCAUCAUACGUUUGAUGUAUUUGCUCUUUGUCCGCCAGAGGUAUCUUAAUAAAUCAUUUCUGUCCA